UUAGCUAACGUGCGCGAGUAUGCGUCAUUCUGACUCAGGUUUCGAUAGCGCAACACGCGUGUUUGGAUUACCCUCGAUCUUUCGUACAAAUUGCAGUGCUUUUGCUAUAACUAUGGUUGUCAAGAUAAAGAUAACUUACUGUGGCGCAUGAGGCUACGCUUCAAAGUUUCAGAAGCUGAAGUCUGAUCUCAC